rnacentral:rRNA from 1 species
AACGAACGCUGGCGGCAGGCUUAACACAUGCAAGUCGAGCGCCCCGCAAGGGGAGCGGCAGACGGGUGAGUAACGCGUGGGAACGUACCCUUUCUACGGAAUAACGCAUGGAAACGUGUGCUAAUACCGUAUACGCCCUUAGGGGGAAAGAUUUAUCGGAGAAGGAUCGGCCCGCGUUGGAUUAGCUAGUUGGUGGGGUAAAGGCCUACCAAGGCGACGAUCCAUAGCUGGUCUGAGAGGAUGAUCAGCCACAUUGGGACUGAGACACGGCCCAAACUCCUACGGGAGGCAGCAGUGGGGAAUAUUGGACAAUGGGCGCAAGCCUGAUCCAGCCAUGCCGCGUGAGUGAUGAAGGCCUUAGGGUUGUAAAGCUCUUUCACCGGAGAAGAUAAUGACGGUAUCCGGAGAAGAAGCCCCGGCUAACUUCGUGCCAGCCGCCG